AUGAAGGCACAGCUGUGGUGCAGGUCACCCCGUUACCGCGGCGGGCGGCAGAGGGUCCCCCUGCCACGAUGCACCCUUUCCUACAAGACGUGGAUGCAGCGUGUGAGGGCGAGGAGGGGGCGACUCCUUCGGUCUCUCCACUUGGACACUCGAACACUUCACACAGGCCAGAAGGUAGGCGUGGAUGACCAAAGGGAAGGACCUGGGCUUGGCCUCCCGCCUCCCCUCUGUCCUUUGCCCUUGCCGUCUCUGCUUGUAUGGCAGGGACUGACACCCGGGCCGCGUGUCCCGGGCUCCUGGUCCAGCUUCCCCUUGGUGUGGCCCCAGCGAGAGGCAGAUGUGAGGGACAGUGGGAAGUUCCCAGCAUCCCGCGCUGCCUGGGCGCGUCUCGCUCCCAGCUGGCCCUGGCUCUGACCUCAUCCCUGACGGCUCCUGGGCUCCCGCACUGCUGUUCCUGUCUCCGUCCCUCCAACUAGUAUGAUGCAGCCUCAUGCCGUUGUUUGAGUUGUCUCAUAGACGGUUUGACCCCUCAGCCCAUCCAUCACAUGUAUAACCGGGUCCCUGGAUGACACUCCACACUUUGAGACACUUGGGGCAGUUUCUCUUUGGCUGGUCACAUCCAGACUGACACAGCCCACUUAUCAUUUGAACCCUUUUUUUCUUUUGCAGCAAUGGGGAUUGAACCUAGGACCUUCGCCCUUUUGUCAUUUUUAUUUUAUUAAAUGGUCUCACUAAGUCGCUGAGUUGCCCGGACAGAACUUGACUGGCGAUCCUGCUGCCUCAGCCUCCCACAGGGCUUGGAUUAUAGAUGUGCAACACCAGCUCUGCACUCAUUUUUAAAGCAAGACAAAUAAGAACCGGCUCGUGACUUGUCCCAGUGGUGGCUCAGAUGCGGGCCCAGGGUAGGCGGAGAGUUGGGCUGAGGAGGGCUGGAGUUUUGCCAGGAAAGUCUGAGGUGGGACGAUGGUCCAGGACCCUUGGCCGAGUUAGGGGACAGAUGUGAAAGGAUGGACAGCAGUGCUGAGGCAGUCGGAGGGUGACAGACUGCCAUGGGGCUGACCACCUCCAGGGAGCGAGCAGAGAUCCAUGAAAGUGGUCAGGGAUUCGAAUGCCUGAAAGCAAAGCUUUGGCAAGAGACGCACAGUGCGGGAUGAGAGUGUGGACUUGGACAGCGGCUGAGCCAGGGCGGGAGACAGGACCGUUGAUGCGACCGGACAGAGAGGCGGGCGCUGAACAGAUCCUCUGCUGGGCAUGUGGGCCCGUGACUGUAGGAGGGCUUGGGUCGCCACCCCACCCCCCCAGCCCCACCCGGCCUCACCUCCACGCCCAGCCAGGGCCCCGCCUCCACCCACUAGCAGCUACUGAUGCGUCCUAGACCCUUACCAAAUAUUUGCAGGGAAAGGAGAGAGCACAGCUCAGCAUAAGACCAGAAAUAAAACUGAACAUUCCAC
rnacentral:lncRNA from 1 species